AACGAACGCUGGCGGCAGGCUUAACACAUGCAAGUCGAGCGCCCCGCAAGGGGAGCGGCAGACGGGUGAGUAACGCGUGGGAAUCUACCCAUCUCUACGGAAUAACGCAUGGAAACGUGUGCUAAUACCGUAUACGUACUUCGGGAGAAAGAUUUAUCGGAGAUGGAUGAGCCCGCGUUGGAUUAGCUAGUUGGUGGGGUAAAGGCCUACCAAGGCGACGAUCCAUAGCUGGUCUGAGAGGAUGAUCAGCCACACUGGGACUGAGACACGGCCCAGGCUCCAACGGGGGGCAGCAGUGGGGAAUAUUGGACAAUGGGCGCAAGCCUGAUCCAGCCAUGCCGCGGGUUUGAUGAAGGCCCUAGGGUGGUAAAGCUCUUUCACCGGUGAAGAUAAUGACGGUAACCGGAGAAGAAGCCCCGGCUAACUUCGUGCCAGCCGCCGCCGUAAUAC
rnacentral:rRNA from 1 species